GUUUAAUUACCCAAGUUUGAGG
rnacentral:misc_RNA from 2 species